AAUAUUUGUAAAAUAUUUCAUAUAUCCCAGUCUUCUAGAAUCUUGCCCCUCCUCACCAAAAGAUGGAUUCUACUCCCAAUGAUGCCCUGGGUCUGGGCAAGGCUUUCUUACUGCCUUGAUGAACAGAAUGUGGGAGAGUAAUGCUGAGAUAAAAAAGACGACGGAUUUCAUAACUUCUGUGUCAACUCUGGGCUUGGAUUAUCUUCCUGAGGACACUGGGUCUUACUUGGAUGCCAAAUCUCUGUGUGCUGCUGAACCUGUGUGCAAAGAAUGGGACCGCAUGACAUCGGAGGGCAUGUUAUGGAAGAAGCUCAUUGAAACAAUGGUCAGCACAGGUUCUUGUGGGUAGUAUUUAUUAAAAAACAACCUCCUGAUGGAAAUGCUCCUCCAAACUCUUCUUAUAAGGCACUUUAUCCUAAAAUUAUACAGGACAUUGAGACCAUAGAAUCUAAUUGGAGAUGUGAAUGACAGUUUACAGAGACUCCCCUGCCAACAUAAAAUGAGCAAAGGAGUUUUCUGUUUCCAUUAAGAUGACCAGAAAGUAGUAAGCAAACUUUGAGACAACAUGAUCAAAAUCUGGUAUAAAAACACAUUGAAAGCAAAGUUUCACAAGCUACACAGGUUCCAUCCUGUGUCUCUAGUAUGAAGAGAAGGUGAUCACGACUGAGUCAUGGGUUCUACAGUCAGAGUAUGGGAUGUGAUUACAAGGGCCAUGCUAAACUCAUUAACUCACCAUUGUGAAGCAGUUCUGUUCUUGCACAUCAAUAAUGGCAUGAUGGUGGCCUGAUCCAAAGAUGGUUCCCUUGCUUUAUGAGAUAUAGCCUCCCCA
rnacentral:lncRNA from 1 species